rnacentral:rRNA from 1 species
CAGAGGGUCCCGAGCGUUGUUCGGAUUCACUGGGCGUAAAGGGUGCGCAGGUGGCGAUGGCAAGUUUGGUGUGAAAGCUUCGGGCUUAACCCGGAAAUGGCAUUGAAAACUGCUGUGCUGGAGGAUCGGAGGGGGGACUGGAAUUCUUGGUGUAGCAGUGAAAUGCGUAGAUAUCAAGAGGAACACCAGUGGCGAAGGCGAGUCCCUGGACGAUACCUGACACUGAGGCACGAAAGCCAAGGGAGCAAACAGGAUUAGAUACCCUGGUAGUCUUGGCUGUAAACGGUGCGUAUUUGCUGUAAACGGAAUCGACCCCGUUUGUGGCGUAGCUAACGCGAUAAAUACGCCGCCUGGGAAGUACGGUCGCAAGAUUA